AAAUUGAAGAGUUUGAUCAUGGCUCAGAUUGAACGCUGGCGGCAGGCCUAACACAUGCAAGUCGAACGGUAACAGGAAGAAGCUUGCUUCUUUGCUGACGAGUGGCGGACGGGUGAGUAAUGUCUGGGAAACUGCCUGAUGGAGGGGGAUAACUACUGGAAACGGUAGCUAAUACCACAUAACGUCGCAAGACCAAAGAGGGGGACCUUCGGGCCUCUUGCCAUCGGAUGUGCCCAGAUGGGAUUAGCUAGUAGGUGGGGUAACGGCUCACCUAGGCGACGAUCCCUAGCUGGUCUGAGAGGAUGACCAGCCACACUGGAACUGAGACACGGUCCAGACUCCUACGGGAGGCAGCAGUGGGGAAUAUUGCACAAUGGGCGCAAGCCUGAUGCAGCCAUGCCGCGUGUAUGAAGAAGGCCUUCGGGUUGUAAAGUACUUUCAGCGGGGAGGAAGGGAGUAAAGUUAAUAUCUUU
rnacentral:rRNA from 1 species